rnacentral:rRNA from 1 species
AAAUUGAAGAGUUUGAUCAUGGCUCAGAUUGAACGCUGGCGGCAGGCCUAACACAUGCAAGUCGAACGGUAGCACAGAGAGCUUGCUCUCGGGUGACGAGUGGCGGACGGGUGAGUAAUGUCUGGGAAACUGCCUGAUGGAGGGGGAUAACUACUGGAAACGGUGGCUAAUACCGCAUAACGUCGCAAGACCAAAGAGG